rnacentral:rRNA from 1 species
AAUAUAGUAUAAUGGAGGAUACUCUGAUUCACCGACGCCGCGUGAGUGAAGAAGGUCUCCGGAUCGUAGAACUCUGUCCUUGGGCAAGAUAAACACGGUAGGUAAGCAGUAAGCCUCGGCUAAUUAAGUGCUAGCAGCCGCGGUAAUCCGUAGGAGGCUAGCGUUGUCCGGAUUUACUGGGCGUAGAGGGUGAGUAGGCGGUUGAAUAAGUCAGAUGUAAAAGGAUAAGGCUUAACCAUAGUAUGCAUUUGAAACUGUGUGACUUGAGUACAAGAGAGGUAAGCGGAAUUCCUAGUGUAGGGGUGAAAUGCGUAGAUAUUAGGAGGAACACCAGUGGCGAAGGCGGCUUACUGGACUGUAACUGACGCUGAGUCACGAAAGCGUGGGUAGCAAACA